rnacentral:rRNA from 1 species
UACGUAGGGGGCAAGCGUUGUCCGGAAUUAUUGGGCGUAAAGCGCGCGCAGGCGGUUUCUUAAGUCUGGUGUAUAAGCCUGGGGCUCAACCCCGGAUCGCACGGGAAACUGGGAGACUGGAGUGCAGGAGAGGGAAGCGGAAUUCCACGUGUAGCGGUGAAAUGCGUAGAGAUGUGGAGGAACACCAGUGGCGAAGGCGGCUUCCUGGCCUGUAACUGACGCUGAGGCGCGAAAGCGUGGGGAGCAAACAGG